rnacentral:rRNA from 1 species
AGGGUUCGAUCAUGGCUCAGAACGAACGCUGGCGGCAGGCCUUAUACAUGCAAGUCGAGCGCAUCCUUCGGGAUGAGCGGCGGACGGGUGAGUAACGCGUGGGAAUGUGCCCUUCUCUACGGAAUAGCCACUGGAAACGGUGAGUAAUACCGUAUACGCCCUCAGGGGGAAAGAUUUAUCGGAGAAGGAUCAGCCCGCGUUAGAUUAGGUAGUUGGUGGGGUAACGGCCUACCAAGCCUACGAUCUAUAGCUGGUUUUAGAGGAUGAUCAGCCACACUGGGACUGAGACACGGCCCAGACUCCUACGGGAGGCAGCAGUAGGGAAUCUUGGACAAUGGGGGAAACCCUGAUCCAGCCAUGCCGCGUGAGUGAAGAAGGCCCUAGGGUCGUAAAGCUCUUUCGCCUGUGAUGAUAAUGACAGUAGCAGGUAAAGAAACCCCGGCUAACUCCGUGCCAGCCGCCGCGGUAAUUC